rfam:Bacteroides sp. CAG:1060 genomic scaffold, scf84
UGAACAUCAAAGGGGUGCCAAUAUGUUGUUGGCUGAGAUUAUACCCUCAAAACCUGAAGCAGAUAAUGCUGCCGUAGGGAUUGAGAACAGAAUAGUU